GACGAACGCUGGCGGCGUGCUUAACACAUGCAAGUCGAACGGAAAGGCCCUGCUUUUGUGGGGUGCUCGAGUGGCGAACGGGUGAGUAACACGUGAGUAACCUGCCCUUGACUUUGGGAUAACUUCAGGAAACUGGGGCUAAUACCGGAUAGGAGCUCCUGUUGCAUGGUGGGGGUUGGAAAGUUUCGGCGGUUGGGGAUGGACUCGCGGCUUAUCAGCUUGUUGGUGGGGUAGUGGCUGACCAAGGCUUUGACGGGUAGCCGGCCUGGGAGGGUGACCGGCCACAUUGGGACUGAGAUACGGCCCAGACUGCUACGGGGGGCAGCAGUGGGGAAUAUUGCACAAUGGGCGGAAGCCUGAUGCAGCAACGCCGCGUGCGGGAUGACGGCCUUCGGGUUGUAAACCGCUUUCGCCUGUGACGAAGCGUGAGUGACGGUAAUGGGUAAAGAAGCACCGGCUAACUACGUG
rnacentral:rRNA from 1 species